rnacentral:rRNA from 1 species
CACUGCCUGGAUACCACCCUGAACAUGCCUAUCUUGCCUGAUCUCGGAAGCUAAGCAGGGUCGGGCCUGGUUAGUACUUGGAUGGGAGACCCUGGGAAGGGGAAAUAGAAGAGA